GUGCUCACAUCUGCAGCACAUAUACUAAAAGUAGAAUGAGACAGAGAAGAUUAGCAUAGUCCCUGUGCAAGAAUGACACACAAAUUCAUGAAGAUUUCAUAUUUUUA
ensembl:snRNA U6 U6 spliceosomal RNA